rnacentral:rRNA from 1 species
AUGGCAGAAUCUGCAGCACUUGCUUCUGACCCUAAGAGGCUAUUCAGAAAAUUGGAUGGGAUCCUGGCACUGACAGACCAAAUCCCUACAAGAUCUACCGCUGACUACGCUACCAUGACAGAAGAAGAGAUAUGGGACGAGUGUCUCGAGUGGCUAACAUCGAUGUGGCCGCAUCGACUAAAUGUUAUACUAGGGGAUCAAAUGGGAGCUGGGGGUGUAAUCCCAACACUUGUGUUUCUUGACCGUCCCAAACAGAGUGGCCAGCAUGGUCCAUACCUGAUAGUUUCUUCUCUGGACAAGGACAACGGUAUUGGAGACUGGUUGAGACAGAUAAGGCUUUUUCCAUCUAUGAAGGAACUGUUUUACUUUGGAAACCAACAGGGUCGCGCAACAAUGAGAAAACAGUUUGCGCGCAAAGCUGUUGGCCCUGAUUUCCCGAUCAUACUGACCACAUAUAAUAUGGUCAUGGUAGAAAAGCAAUUGCUUGCUCAGUAUGACUGGAAAUAUGUUGUUGUCGACGAGGGCUAUCAACUCAAGAAAAGAGAACACGAAGUAUUGGAGGCGGUAAAGCGCCAGCCAAUGGAUCAUAAGCUCCUUUUGAUAAGGGAGCCUUUUCAAAAUAACCUAGCAGAGCUGUGGUCGCUAUUGAACUUUGCUCUGCCUAAUGCAUUCUCAUCUCGUGAGGAAUUUGAUUCGUGGUUUGAUAAAUCUGAGAAAGAAGGUGAGGAACAACAAAUUGAAGAGGAAAGAAGGGCCCUUCUUUCGAAGCUUCAUGCCAUUUUGCGCCCAUUCCUUCUAAGGGACAUGAAGGGGGCUGUCCAAAACACGGUUCCACAAAACAAAGGUGCCACAUGCUACAAGACUAAAGUUGUUCGGAACUCGGUUGCAAUUAGCAUCACAUGCUCCGGUGACAACGCGACAAAAGAAGGCGCAAAGACUGAUGGUGAGAGUUGUCAAGAGGUAUCAGCAGAGGUUGUUGGUGUAACUGAUGGUGAAGGUAGUCCUAACACGCAAAUCGGUCAAUUGGGCCUGGAAGUUGAAGUUAAUAAGGUCAGUAAGAGGCCGAGAACAAAUGAUGCACCUAUCUCACCAUUAGGCGAAAGCAAUCCAGCUGUGCAUGUGCAAGUGCCAAAUUCAAGUUCCCCUGAAAUAAUCUUCAAGGCACUCAAAAACAUACCUGACUUAGCCCGUAUUGAUAUUCUGAGAGCCUACAGUGCUCUUAUCCGUGAUGACCGCCGAUUUGAGUCUCUCAUGGCACUCCCGAUGGACAUGAGAAAGGAUUGGCUGCUCAUGGAGAUUGGAAACAACUAG